GAUCCUGCCAGUAGUCAUAUGCUUGUCUCAAAGAUUAAGCCAUGCAUGUCUCAGUACAAGCCAAAUUAAGGUGAAACCGCGAAAGGCUCAUUAAAUCAGUUAUGGUUCCUUAGAUCGUACCCACAAUUACUUGGAUAACUGUGGUAAUUCUAGAGCUAAUACAUGCAAACAGAGCCCCGACCGGAGACGGAAGGGGUGCUUUUAUUAGAUCAAAAUCAAUCGGCGGCGUUCACGCGUCGUCGUGCGUUUUGGUGACUCUGGAUAACUAUGUGCUGAUCGCACGGUCUCGUACCGGCGACGCAUCUUUCAAAUGUCUGCCUUAUCAACUGUCGAUGGUAGGAUCUGCGCCUACCAUGGUUGUAACGGGUAACGGGGAAUCAGGGUUCGAUUCCGGAGAGGGAGCCUGAGAAACGGCUACCACAUCCAAGGAAGGCAGCAGGCGCGCAAAUUACCCACUCCCGGCACGGGGAGGUAGUGACGAAAAAUAACGAUGCGGGACUCAUCCGAGGCCCCGUAAUCGGAAUGAGUACAGUCUAAACCUCUUAACGAGGAUCAAUUGGAGGGCAAGUCUGGUGCCAGCAGCCGCGGUAAUUCCAGCUCCAAUAGCGUAUAUUAAA
rnacentral:rRNA from 1 species